GCUGCAUACUUGACUAAAACAUCAGCUACAUUAUUUCCUUCACAGUAACUCCAUUGCACACAUGGUGUGUUAUGAACAUUUGAAUGUAGGAGAUGGAUCAAGGGACGUGAGUUUGUCUCAAGAAUGGCAUUGCAUUGCUUAUUGCUUAUGUUGAGAGUAUGUAGGAUGCGGAGCCCAAAAGCAAAGCACACCUAAGUCUAGAAGGUCCAGGAUUUCCAAAUGAUGAACCAUCAAAAUUAACCUUCAACAUUCCUGAUGGAGGAUAUACCUAAUGAACAUCAACAUGCUUCGCCAGAAAAAUAUUAAAACUUUCAUACCUUUGUGCAUGUGGGGAAUCCAUGAGCUAAAGGAAAAGCUUGUGCUUGUCGAGCAUAAUGGAAAGUCUGCAAAUUGUCCAUUCCUGGGUGAAACAUGGAUGAUUGCGUGCGAUCUAGAUACACCACAAAGCAGAAGAGACAAGAGUUAUAAGAUUGUGUCCAUUAUGUAAACUGUCAAGAGUAGAAAAAUAAAUCGUGUAAUAAACUUGAUAAAUUUAAAAUUACUUUUGAGUUUGUGAAGCAAAGUUAAUUAUUUUUCAAGUAUCCCCACAAAUAUCAAAGAACUCCAUUAUAAAAAAGGGAUAUUACAAGUAUAAAUAAGUUGAUAGAUCACAUCGUAGCCAUCAAUAUUUUUGAAUCUUGUUGUAUGCGAAGGAAGUGAGAUUGGAGUAAUUAUAUUAAGGGAGUCACUAUAGCCGCCCCGAUGUAUCUUAAAUAAUAUAUAUGUAUCCUUAACGACCUUGAAACAUUUCUGUGUGUUCUUAUAGACUAUUAUUGUUGCACCAGGAACACCUCACAUCCAUUUUUAAAGCUAACAGAUCUAACCUAAGAGUCUAAGCUUUCGUAAUGGAGCUGCAACCUGCCUACUUCUCCUUCGUGUUCAUUCUCAUUCUCAUCCUAUUCCUAUUCAUGCUUUUGAAAGUGAAUAGGAGUGCAAAACCCCGUACCACAAAUUCUAAACUGCCUCCACAGCCAUGGAAGCUACCGAUCAUAGGCCACUUGCAUCAUUUACUCGGACUACCACAUCACAUCCUCAGGAAUCUAGCUCAAAAAUAUGGUCCUCUUAUGCUAUUACAACUUGGUGAAGUUCAUGCCAUCAUUGUUUCUUCACCAAAAGUGGCAAGAGAGAUAUUAAAGACACAUGACAUUGAGUUUGCAGACAGACCUGCACUUCUUGCUGGAAAGAUCAUGUCUUAUGAUUUUGUAGGUGUUUUAUUCUCUCCAUAUGGUCAGUAUUGGAGACAACUGCGAAAGAUUUGUUCCCAAGAACUCUUAAGUACAAAGAAGGUUCAAUCCUUGUGGUCAAUAAGGGAAGAGGAGGUAUCGAAUCUCAUUGAAAAAAUUUCCUCGGAAGCUGGAUUCCCUGUCAACAUUAGUCAGAAGCUUAAUUCAUUAGCAAAUGACAUAAUUUCCAGGGCAGCAUUCGGAAAGAAAUGCAAAGACAAAGAUGCAUUCAUAUCAUUGAUGCUGGCCGUGCUUAGAUUGGGUGGAGGUUUUGAAUUUGUCGAUUUCUUCCCUUCACUAAAAUUUUUACAUGGGAUCAGUGGAACAAAGAUAAAAUUACAGAACAUGCAUCAGAAGAUAGAUAAGAUCCUAGAAGACAUCAUUGAUGAUCAUAGAGAGAAUAGGGUGAGAAUUGAGUCAAAAGAAGGUGAAUAUGAAGAGGAUUUAGUUGAUGUCCUUCUAAGGAUUCAAAAUGACAGUGAUCUUGCAACCCCACUUGAAAACAACAACAUCAAAGCUGUACUUCUGGUCAGUGGUUAUUUAUAUUUCAGUUUUUUGUUUGUUUUGUAUGACUAAAUGAAUCAUUCCAUCAGUAAUCUUUGAUGUUCAAAGUGAUCAAGCUGUUUCCUUGACGGUAUAGGACAUCUUCUUUGGUGGAAGCGACACUGCAGCCAUAACAAUGGCAUGGGCAUUGUCAGAAUUGAUGAGAAACCCGAGGGUCAUGGUGAAGGCGCAAACUGAGGUAAGGCACGUCUUCAAUGGAAAAAGAAAGGUUGAACAAUCAGAUAUCAAUGAGCUGGACUACUUAAGGUUAGUUAUUAAGGAAACUCUACGGCUGCACCCUCCUACUCCAUUGCUACCACCAAGAGAAAAUAGAGAGAAGUGUGAGAUUGAGGGAUAUGAAAUACCCCGAAAAACCAAAGUCAUUGUUAAUAUAUGGGCAAUAGGAAGAGAUCCCAAAUUCUGGAGUAAUGCGGAAGAAUUUAUCCCAGAGCGGUUUGAAGAUCAUUCUAUUGAUUUCAGGGGAGCUAACUUUGAAUACAUCCCAUUUGGUGCUGGUAAGAGGAUAUGUCCAGGUAUGUCCUUCGGCUUAGCCAAUGUUGAACAUGGACUUGCUCAAUUACUGUACCACUUUGAUUGGGAUCUCCCUGAUGGUGUAAAGCCAGCAGAGCUAGACAUGACUGAAGUCUUCGGUGCAACAGUUAACAGAAGAGUCAACUUGAAGUUGAUUCCUACCCUUUACCGUCCUUUGGCUGUUGUGACAUGAGUCCAAUGUGUGCAUGUAAUAUCUGCAAACUUUUUUUUUUCUUUUGGUUUAAAAUGAAGUAUGUAGCAUUGUAUUUUUUUUUUUUUUUUUGGGCUUGGUACAGUAAGUAUUAAUGUAUUAAAAUGUACUGAAAGAUACAUGGGUUAAGUGGGUGGUCACAUAUACAGUAUAUCUACCCCUCACCUUAUAUCAAAAGGAGUUGGGGCAUUCCCAUUGGGUUAACCAUGUAGGUUUCCCAAUUACUAUCUCCAUGUCCUGUGUUGUUCUCCCUAAUGCCACCUUUGAUGUCUUAUCUGCCGCAAAAUUAGCCUCCCUCUAUGUAGGGGUACCAUAUGCAAUAUCUAAUUACAACACGACAUGUGGCAUACUAUUACUAUCAAUCAGGUCGCCCACAACAUGACCUUGCAUGACCCGACUAGAGCAGCUCGAGCAUAUUACCGUUGGCGACCUCAAUAUGGACGUGCGGUAAAUCAAUGUUCAGAAAAUAUCCUUGUUCGUUACACAUUAAUUACUAAAUAUCUCGUAAUUAAUGGAUGUCGGAGAAUCCGCAUGAUCCCAUGAUCUAUGCCCUUCCACAUUUUAUAAAUCUCACAAAACUACGGUGGCUUGAUCUCUACGCUCCACUCCCUCGAGCUAGAGUACGUAGGCAAUCUCGAUUUCACGAAGUGCAGCCACCUCCCGAUCUCAAACUCCUAUCUUGGUCAGCCUCCUUGCGACCUGACCCUGAUUAAUGCAUUAAUCUGGAAACAGGUUAAUACAUUUGGCGCCGACUGAAAGGAUUCAAUUGUAUCGAAAAACCAACCCUCCAACCCUCCAACCCAACUCGAAAUCCCAAGCAACUCUCCACUUAUCCAAUGGCCAACCAAGAAGAGAUUAUCCGAGAUCUAAGGAACCAACUCAAGGCCACUGCCAUCGACUUUGACACCAACAACGGUCAGGCUGGAGUCGUUACCAUAGAUAGCAAUAACCGCAAGUACGAGGAACUCAAUCAACAACUCGCUGAAUUCAAGGCCUCCCAGGACGGAAGCUAGCUUGGACGAGGUCGUAUGGCAGAACAACUCGCCAUUCAGUCUUUGUAGCACUUUCAGGAGUCCCCAUUCACCAAGAAAAUCAUGGAGCACGACCUACCAAGCAAACUCAAUGCACCAAAGUUCGACCAAUACUCAGGUGUAGGUGACUCAACAGAUCACGUCAAAAGCUUCUGCAAAUCGCUCCAAUUAAUCAAAGAAAACCAUCUCUUAUGCCUACUGUUCUAAUCCAGUCUUACUAGAUCGACUCUCUACUGGUUUCAUCGCCUUAAGCCAGGGUCAAUCGGCUCAUUCAACGAGCUCGAGAAGCAGUUCGUCAUCUUCUAUAUACACAACAAAAAAUGUCCAAUCACCAUCGACGCAAUGUUUAAGGUAAAUCAGGGAGAAGGAGAGUUGCUGAGUGAUUUUUUCGCUCGAUUUAAAAUUGAGCUACAUUCAAUCCAAGACUUUGCAAAAGACCACGAACAUUUUGCCACAAUAACAUUCUUUCACGGUCUGAUCCCUAGUCAUUGGCUAAGUAACGACCAACAUCUCUCGACGAAUUGUACUUGAAGGUAGAUUGCUAUAUCAAACUGAAGAAGCCUUGGUCGAAAAGAUUAAGAGCCACGUCAUAGCAAAUGUAGAAGGGGCCACCAAAAGCUCUCGAUCAGAAAAUAACAAAAGGUUCAAAGCUAAGCCACUGCCUACCGAGCAGCAGGAAUAUCACAGAUUUACAUGACCUGCGGGAUAUAUAUCUACCAGAGGAUCAAGCACCACCACUGGUGCAAGAUUCGAGAUUUCAUGUCACUAGAGGACACAGUUGGUCGUCCUUAUUGCAAAAUCCACAAGGUAAGAUGUCACCAAAUAGAUGAUUGUCGCAUACUGAAGCGACCUCUUCAAACAUGGGCUGAUGAGAAAAUGCUGAACAACUGGCUUUAUAACAGGCAGGAUGAGCCCGCAGAAAAGAAGAACAAAAAGAGGUCCAGAACUCCACCACGUUCUGAUCAACGAUCUCAAAGCAAGACCAGAGCUGUUUCUCCAAGUCGUUCACGCAAUAGAGGGCGUAGGCUAUCCAAAAGAUUAGGUCCCACUGGCGACCUACGCGAUCAAAUCAACAAGCAUGUAGCAAACAGAAUAGAAAAGGAUAAUGAAACAGAGAGUCAUGUCAUUUACAUGAUCUAUGAGUCCAAUUCUACACCAGUCCCGAGGGAGAAAAAGAGAUGUGUCGAACAUCUUCACCACGUCUACUCGAUCACAAGGCAAGCAACACGAACCAAUGUGCCUGCUCGACAGGAGACAAACCCGUGUUUCACAGAAGAUGACCUUAACAACGUCGUAGUACCACACAACGACGCUCUAGUCGUUGAAUUGAGAAUAAUCACUGUCAAGAAGGCCCUGAUCGACCCCGGUGCGUCUUAUAAAAUCUUGAUGUACAAGACCUUCAAGGAAAUGAGACUCCCUGACUCAGUUCUCCAGACUUCACUCCGAUCCUUGGAUUCAACAGUUCAAGGGAAGACUCAAAAGGGGAGAUAUUACUGCCCAUGACUGUUGGUAGAAAAAAAGAUAGAGUUACCCUCACCGGUAAGUUUAGGGUUCUGAACAUUGCGAGCAAGUACACUGCAAUUCUCGCCCGCAAAUGGAUCCACUCCAUGCGAGGAGUUCCAUCGACCUACCAUCAAGUCUUCCGUUAUCCUGGUCCCAAUGGAAGAAUGGAACUCAGAGGAAACCAGAAUGCAACACAAGAAUGUCAUGGCAUUAUAGAAGCUGUGACAAACGAAAAGCCAACGACCUUAACCAAUAAAGAGGUCACAACUCCAACCAAAGAUGCUGCCAAGGGAAAAGACGAGGCCACAUAUACGGCCAAAUAGCAAUCACAGAAGGAGCAAACGAGCUCCUCUUAACUCUCACUUGGAAGCACAGAUCCUGGCGUGUAAGUGAACCUGGGGUCAGAGGACGACCCCAAGUAUGUGUAUGUGGGCUCAGAAUUAGGAACAGAUAAGUACAAUGAAUUUUGUAAAUUUCUUUUCUCUUAAUAAAGAUGUUUUUGCUUGGUCGUACAUCGAUAUGCCGGGUAUAGAUAUUUCAAUUGCAUGUCAUAAGUUACGGGUAAACCCUAAUUAUCGACCCGUUAGGAAAAAGAUAAGGAAACUUGCACCUAAACUUCAUCAGGCCGUUAAUGAUUAAAUAAACAGACUCAAACAUGUCGUAUUCAUCAAAGAGGUCGGCACACCAGAUUGGCUAGCCAACAUAGUUUCAGUAUUGAAAAAGAAUGGGAAGACAAGAGUUUGUAUCGACGUCACAAGCUUGAAUAAAGCUUAUCGUAAAAAUUCUUUCCCACUUUUAUGAAUCGAUAGGCUAGUCAAUCAGACCUGCGGUUUCAAGCUCCUAUCAUUCAUAGACGUGUAUUCUGAUACAACCAGAUCCCAAUGUAUGAGUGAUAAUCAAAAUGACUAUCAAAAGCAUAUUUAUUAGUCCUUGUGCCU
rnacentral:lncRNA from 1 species